rnacentral:rRNA from 1 species
GAUGAACGCUAGCGACAGGCUUAACACAUGCAAGUCGAGGGGCAGCAUGAUUUGUAGCAAUACAGAUUGAUGGCGACCGGCGCACGGGUGAGUAACGCGUAUGCAACUUACCUAUCAGAGGGGGAUAGCCCGGCGAAAGUCGGAUUAAUACCCCAUAAAACAGGGGUCCCGCAUGGGAAUAUUUGUUAAAGAUUCAUCGCUGAUAGAUAGGCAUGCGUUCCAUUAGGCAGUUGGCGGGGUAACGGCCCACCAAACCGACGAUGGAUAGGGGUUCUGAGAGGAAGGUCCCCCACAUUGGUACUGAGACACGGACCAAACUCCUACGGGAGGCAGCAGUGAGGAAUAUUGGUCAAUGGCCGAGAGGCUGAACCAGCCAAGUCGCGUGAAGGAAGAAGGAUCUAUGGUUUGUAAACUUCUUUUAUAGGGGAAUAAAGUGGAGGACGUGUCCUUUUUUGUAUGUACCCUAUGAAUAAGCAUCGGCUAACUCCGUGCCAGCAGCCGCGGUAAUACGGAGGAUGCGAGCGUUAUCCGGAUUUAUUGGGUUUAAAGGGUGCGUAGGUGGUGAUUUAAGUCAGCGGUGAAAGUUUGUGGCUCAACCAUAAAAUUGCCGUUGAAACUGGGUUACUUGAGUGUGUUUGAGGUAGGCGGAAUGCGUGGUGUAGCGGUGAAAUGCAUAGAUAUCACGCAGAACUCCGAUUGCGAAGGCAGCUUACUAAACCAUAACUGACACUGAAGCACGAAAGCGUGGGGAUCAAACAGGAUUAGAUACCCUGGUAGUCCACGCAGUAAACGAUGAUUACUAGGAGUUUGCGAUACAAUGUAAGCUCUACAGCGAAAGCGUUAAGUAAUCCACCUGGGGAGUACGCCGGCAACGGUGAAACUCAAAGGAAUUGACG